UUUAGGUUUACACAAUUGAUGAUUCAGCUUUCUGAAGAGAGACUCGUCUCCUUCCGCUCUCACUCGCGGCGGCGGCCGGAAAUUCUUCUCCGGCGAGAUUCACUCAGCAAUACAUUGAACAAUAUGGAUUCCUCCGUCCGAACUCUCAUUCUCUCCGGUCUCGACCUCUCAUGGCCGCGAAUGGCGACGGCGCGGUGACGGAUCCUCCCCUCUCUUCACUCGAUGAAGUGGCGCGACGACGGCUCCUCAUGAUCUCGGUUCAAAAUCUCCCUCCGCCGUCAAGAACGAAUCGACCUCCCUCUCUCGUCUCAUCUCUCCUUCGAUCCAGACCUCCUGCUCUCUCUGCUCCGACCUCGUUCUCACGUUCUCCUUACCGGAGCAAUUCCGAUGACUCUCCGAGUUUGAUGAAGAAAAUCAUGAGAUCCAGAGAUGAAGAUUAUAGAGCCUGUGAAGCGAUGGUGAUUUGAAGUUGUUGCGAAUUGUUGUUGAAUCGGGAGAUGAAGAUGAUGAUGUACUGAUGCGUGGAGUGAUUAUACGGAUGCGUCGUUGAUUACGUCGACGAUGAAAAGUGAUGAUGAACGUGAUGAGAGUUCUUGAAGAUUGAUCGGGAUUGGUAUGAAGUGAUGAACGAAGCAAGGGAGCGUGAACGAGAGAGAUGAAUCGAAGAAGAAUUAUUGACAAUGGAUCCAAGUUGAGGAUUGAAGGUGGUGAAGAAGAAUAAUGAAGGGAGUUUUUUUCGUGAUUCUGUUAUGAGGUUUUUCAAUGGAGAGAGUGAAUGUUCGAUUUGUUAUCAGGUUGAAUCGAAGGAGAAGGAUGGAGAAUUGAUGAAGAUUCCCAGGUGAGAUUGAAGAUUGUAGAAGAUGAAGAUGAGGAUUCGUGAAUGAAGAUUGAAGAAAAAGGUCCUUGGUGAAGAUUGCUGGUGCGGUGCGGUUUGUCCUCUUGCAGAGGCUGCAAGCUGCUGUUUUUUUUAAUACCAUUUCUUUGUAAUUUGCCUUUGUAAUGGAUAUUAGAAUGAACCUGUAAAAUUGAAUGAUGAAUCUAUGAUGUGCUUCAAUGGUUUUUUUAUUACAUUUCUUUUGAACUUCCAAAUUUUUCUUGACAAACAAUAACAUUUGUAUGGUCUUGAAUGGAUACAAUGAAUAGUGAAGGAUUUGAUAUUUAAUGAGGAACGAAAUCUUCGGAUGGACCAUUGUAGUGAAUCUUGAGUGAGUCUUGUUGAAUAAAGCAUGAACACGUCUCGUGAAUGAGAAUUAAACGAUGAUUUUGCAACGCCAAUACCCGUUCCUUAAAUCCAAGCUCAACCACGAAUAAAACACUUGCAUCUUAAGUAACCUUGAUACAUGUUGGAACGAAAAUUGUAACAAUGGAACCAAUUGAAUCAAUUUCUUG